AUUGAACGCUGGCGGCAGGCCUAACACAUGCAAGUCGAACGAGUGGCGGACGGGUGAGUAAUGUCUGGGAACCUGCCUGGUGGCGGGGGAUAACUACUGGAAACAGUAGCUAAUACCGCAUACCAUCGGAUGUGCCCAGAUGGGAUUAGCUAGUUGGUGGGGUAAAGGCUCACCAAGGCGACGAUCCCUAGCUGGUCUGAGAGGAUGACCAGCCACACUGGAACUGAGACACGGUCCAGACGCCUACGGGAGGCAGCAGUGGGGAAUAUUGCACAAUGGGUGCAAGCCUGAUGCAGCCAUGCCGCGUGUAUGAAGAAGGCCUUCGGGUUGUAAAGUACUUUCAGCGGGGAGGCGUUACCCGCAGAAGAAGCACCGGCUAACUCCGUGCCAGCAGCCGCGGUAAUAC
rnacentral:rRNA from 1 species